rnacentral:rRNA from 1 species
GGGAAUCUGCCCUUGGGUCUGGGAUAACAGUUGGAAACGACUGCUAAUACCGGAUGAUAUCGCGAGAUCAAAGAUUUAUCGCCCGAGGAUGAGCCCGCGUAGGAUUAGCUAGUUGGUGGGGUAAAGGCCUACCAAGGCGACGAUCCUUAGCUGGUCUGAGAGGAUGAUCAGCCACACUGGGACUGAGACACGGCCCAGACUCCUACGGGAGGCAGCAGUGGGGAAUAUUGGACAAUGGGCGCAAGCCUGAUCCAGCAAUGCCGCGUGAGUGAUGAAGGCCUUAGGGUUGUAAAGCUCUUUUACCCGGGAUGAUAAUGACAGUACCGGGAGAAUAAGCCCCGGCUAACUCCGUGCCAGCAGCCGCGGUAAUACGGAGGGGGCUAGCGUUGUUCGGAAUUACUGGGCGUAAAGCGCACGUAGGCGGCUUUGUAAGUCAGGGGUGAAAGCCUGGAGCCCAACUCCAGAACUGCCUUUGAGACUGCAUCGCUUGAAUCCGGGAGAGGUAAGUGGAAUUCCGAGU